UCUUCACGCACGAUCUCUCUCUCUUCCCUCUCUUCCGUUUUCUUCUCUUCACCUAGCACACACACGACGCCGAGAGUGAUUCCACAAGAGAAAUACUGUGAUCUUGAGAGGUCGUCUGUGAGGAGAGACCCGACCAUUGAAGAAGAUAAUGGUGAUUUUUGGUCAAGUACAUCAAGGAAGGAUAGUGUCCAGAUUGGAGACUUCAAUUGAUUCUCCAAUGUAGAGUCCAAGUGACUAGAAUCCGAGGGGAUGUUCAAGUCAGGAGUCUAAUGCAGCCAGAUGUGGCAAACCCCCACAACCGUAUAGAUGAUGUCCCUUUGACUGCAGGUACUCCGGUCGUAGUUGAUGUCGUCGUAGAAGUGUACUUGGGAUAUUAUGACUGAAGCUUGCCGCGACGGUUGUAAUUGUCGGACCACUAGUGUCCAUUGUUUUAUAGGUUUGGA